rnacentral:rRNA from 1 species
AGUGAACGCUGGCGGUAGGCCUAACACAUGCAAGUCGAACGGCAGCACAGUAAGAGCUUGCUCUUACGGGUGGCGAGUGGCGGACGGGUGAGGAAUACAUCGGAAUCUACUUUUUCGUGGGGGAUAACGUAGGGAAACUUACGCUAAUACCGCAUACGACCUACGGGUGAAAGCAGGGGAUCUUCGGACCUUGCGCGAUUGAAUGAGCCGAUGUCGGAUUAGCUAGUUGGCGGGGUAAAGGCCCACCAAGGCGAAGAUCCGUAGCUGGUCUGAGAGGAUGAUCAGCCACACUGGAACUGAGACACGGUCCAGACUCCUACGGGAGGCAGCAGUGGGGAAUAUUGGACAAUGCGCGCAAGCCUGAUCCAGCCAUACCGCGUGGGUGAAGAAGGCCUUCGGGUUGUAAAGCCCUUUUGUUGGGAAAGAAAAGCAGCAGGUUAAUACCCCGCUGUUCUGACGGUACCCAAAGAAUAAGCACCGGCUAACUUCGUG